rnacentral:rRNA from 1 species
GACGAACGCUGGCGGCGUGCUUAACACAUGCAAGUCGAACGGAAAGGCCCUGCUUUUGUGGGGUGCUCGAGUGGCGAACGGGUGAGUAACACGUGAGUAACCUGCCCUUUACUUUGGGAUAACUUCAGGAAACUUGGGCUAAUACCGGAUAGGAGCUCCUGCUUCCUGGGGGGGGUUGGGAAGGUUCGGCGGUUGGGGAUGGACUCGCGGCUUAUCAGCUUGUUGGUGGGGUAGUGGCUUACCAAGGCUUUGACGGGUAGCCGGCCUGAGAGGGUGACCGGCCACAUUGGGACUGAGAUACGGCCCAGACUCCUACGGGAGGCAGCAGUGGGGAAUAUUGCACAAUGGGCGGAAGCCUGAUGCAGCAACGCCGCGUGCGGGAUGACGGCCUUCGGGUUGUAAACCGCUUUCGCCUGUGACGAAGCGUGAGUGACGGUAAUGGGUAAAGAAGCACCGGCUAACUACGUG